ensembl:lncRNA
ACGGACUAACGGGCCGAUUGUUGUUUCGGUUUAGGCUGUGUUCCAUUUAGUUUGCACAGCCGCUGUGAUCCCACACACGCUCACGCGGCGGCGAAUGCAAGAAAGCCAAAGACUCGACCGGGGGGGGAGGAGGAUCUCACUCACCCGGAGGAACCUGUGCGUGUUGGCUUGAAGGAAACCUGCUUCACUGAGCGGUCUGAGCCACGGCCGGACGGAGGUGCCGCUCCUCUCGUUUUCACCACCGGGGGUUUUGGAGGAAGCCCGAAUGUGGACUGGAGCGCGGAGGCGUUUUCGGGCGGGACUCUGAAGUAGUCAAACAGCAGCGGCUCCUCCUCCGAUGCCUUAUAAAAUGGUCACAGGUCACUUCUUAUAUCAGCGCAGACACCCUGUCUUCUCACCGAGGUGGGAAGUAAAGAACUCUGAUCUCCGGCGGCGGCUGAAAGAGCUCCUGGAUCAGAAGGUUCUUUGCAUGGGAGGGGAUCUUCAGGCACAAACUACUCUUUCUUUUCCCAAAAUUUGUAAAUGUUUGUAAUCGUAAUUAUAUAACCACGCUUUACACAUGGCUUCAAAUGAACAUGUUAUCAGGCGUUCCGAGCAUGCCGUGUCAGGCCCACAUACAUGCAGCCGUCCCUCCCCAGUGUGUGUACAUAGCGUAUCAAAGGGAAGCGCUCUCGCAGCCUCCCAUCUCCUUCGGCGAGGAGACGGUUACCCUCGGCAACCCAACUGUCGGCAGAACUGUAGCUUUUUUUUGGGGGGGGCGUCACAUUUGACUGUUUGGACGCGGGGACGUUUGCCGCGCGGCGGCCGGUCGCGACAGAUCGUAUCCUUUGGUGAUAAUAUUUCGGUUGCUCUUUGGGACACUUUGAAACUUAAAACGUGCCAGUUGGGAACAUUCGCACUGACGAAGAGGGCGUCGCCGAAUAAAUUAUUGGCUUUCCAUCUUUUAAAUCAUCCCAUGUUUUCUUCUUGUUUUACCAAUAUAUAUAUAUAUAUAUAUAUAUAUAUAUAUAUAUAUAUAUAUAUAUAUAUAUAUAUAUAUAUAUAUAUAUAUAUAUAUAUAUAUAUAUAAUGUGUUGUCUCUAUUUGUGUAUAAACCAUACCAAUAAACACACAUCUGGGGGUGCCAGACAGGGGGGGUCUGUAUCUUCUGGACGGGAUAAAGGGGGGGGAUGAUGGACGAAUCACAGCCAGCGAUAAACAGCACAGCGAGGCAGCGGGUUAUUUGGGGGGGGUUUUAAGACGCUAAGGCAGAAAGGGCGAAUACCUGGCGGCUUCACAAAGACAAUAGAACAUCUGCGGGGGGAUUCUCACCGGACACCGCCAGGCAGACAGAGAGGCGCUAAGUGAGGGCCGGAGGGGCGCAGAGCCGGGGGCGUUUUUAAUCGACGAGUAGAGAUGACUCGGGUGUUAUUUUCAUGAAGCGACCGUGUGAUUAGAGAUCAGCUUCUGUGUCACUUUCGUUUAACGCCGAACUGCAUUUGAGGGCCGCGAUUUGUUCUUUCACGCCGAGGGACCGACUGUGAGGAUCCUAACUGGCUCCCUCUGGGGACAAUGACCGUACGCUCUAAACAUCACUCACAGCUGUCAGAUGUUAUCAACAUCCUUACUGAUUUGUCAUUCACCUCGAAACAAAUUAAAGAACCAACCCAGGAUCGUUCUCCUUGAGGCCAAAAAAACAGCACUAUAUUUGACAAAAAAGCCUCUUAACAUUUAAUGUAAAGACGCGUUUCCUCGUCUCCUCGUCCAUCACCUGGUCCUUGUGUCACUCACAGGGGAAUAUUCUGCCUGCACAGAGAAUCAGUCCUGGAUUGGGGCUUUAAGGAUUUGUUUUGCUGCAUGCCCUCCCUUUGUUCCCCCGUGGUGAAAUGAACAGUGACACGAUUCUCCCGUUUAAUAAUAUUCAAUCCGCGUUAACAUCUAACGACAUGACUAGACGUUAUUCUUCACGGUCCUCCUGGAAUCCGGAGCUGCAGCAGCAGCAGCAGCAGCAGCUUACGGUUUGACUUUAAAUGAUGGCUUUCUCAGGAUGAAUGUAGGAUUAAGAACUAAACCUGGCUGUCCUGCGGUAACGUGGUGAACCCAAUCUGGUGACACCACGGCAGAUUAAGUAUCUAAUAGCAGCUUCACGCACUGUUUUGAUGGGUUUCUCUUUUUCCCGUUGAUUUACUGACACUGUGUAAAUAUGUCGCCCACGUCUCAAAAAAACAGUUUUUCACUUCAUUUGACAUCCCACUUCUCCUCCUUGUGCAUUUAAAGUAUCUUUUGUGCUGCUGCUUUGGUGACGGUGUGGUGCACAUAUUGCUCAUUUUGUAUUUUAUUCAAGCUGCUAAUAGAAACUUAGUGUUUUUACGACAUGUAACUGAACUUUUUGAAUUGUACCCUUACUGCCCCCCCACCCCCCCCCGACCCCCCCAAUGGGAAACUGUGCACGACGUGCACGGCUCAGUCGGCUGUGCCAAGUUACCACAACAAUAAUAUGUUAAUGUACAGAGCACUGUUAAAUUUCCUGUAUUCUCUGAAAAUAAACCCUUGUAUUUUCCUGUUAUAUGUAAAAUACUAAAGA